UGAUACUGUUCCUUGAGCUAGGAGAAGCAGCAGGGGAGCCAGUUUUGGGGAAGAUGGGGGCAUCCCUCUGGGGGCAUCCACCCUAAGUUGGUAUUGCCUGUGGGACAGGAAGAUGGUGACACCAACUUCAGCAGCAGCUGGGGUAUGACAGCGACGUCCCUGAUCUAUAAUUCCAGACAGCUCCAGGGUGAACGGAUAGACCAAUCCAAAGCGACCACGUCAGAUAAAGUGGUGGUGUUUGCACAGCUCAGUGUCCUCAAGAGGACGGAAGCCCCCCAAGAACUGGAAGUUUUUCUUUUAAUUCAGCACUGGAUCCUUGGCACUGGGAAUGGUGGCAGGCACUCAGCGCGUGUUGCCACAACUAUGUUACCACAAACGCAGCCAUCU